GCGACCCCAGGUCAGGCGGGACUACCCGCUGAAUUUAAGCAUAUCAAUAAG
rnacentral:rRNA from 1 species